rnacentral:rRNA from 1 species
AGCGAACGCUGGCGGCAGGCCUAACACAUGCAAGUCGAACGAACUCUUCGGAGUUAGUGGCGGACGGGUGAGUAACACGUGGGAACGUGCCUUUUGGUUCGGAAUAACUCAGGGAAACUUGUGCUAAUACCGAAUGUGCCCUUCGGGGGAAAGAUUUAUCGCCAUUAGAGCGGCCCGCGUCUGAUUAGCUAGUUGGUGAGGUAACGGCUCACCAAGGCGACGAUCAGUAGCUGGUCUGAGAGGAUGACCAGCCACACUGGGACUGAGACACGGCCCAGACUCCUACGGGAGGCAGCAGUGGGGAAUCUUGCGCAAUGGGCGAAAGCCUGACGCAGCCAUGCCGCGUGAAUGAUGAAGGUCUUAGGAUUGUAAAAUUCUUUCACCGGGGACGAUAAUGGCGGUACCCGGAGAAGAAGCCCCGGCUAACUUUGUG